UACGUAGGGUGCGAGCGUUAAUCGGAAUUACUGGGCGUAAAGCGUGCGCAGGCGGCGCGUUAAGACAGGUGUGAAAUCCCCGGGCUUAACCUGGGAAUUGCAUUUGUGACUGUACGGCUAGAGUGUGUCAGAGGGGGGUAGAAUUCCACGUGUAGCAGUGAAAUGCGUAGAGAUGUGGAGGAAUACCGAUGGCGAAGGCAGCCCCCUGGGAUAACACUGACGCUCAUGCACGAAAGCGUGGGGAGCAAACAGG
rnacentral:rRNA from 1 species